rnacentral:rRNA from 1 species
UACAGAGGUCCCAAGCGUUGUUCGGAUUCAUUGGGCGUAAAGGGUGCGUAGGCGGCGCGGUAAGUCGGGUGUGAAAUCUCGGGGCUUAACUCCGAAACUGCAUUUGAUACUGCGGUGCUUGAGGACUGGAGAGGAGACUGGAAUUUACGGUGUAGCAGUGAAAUGCGUAGAGAUCGUAAGGAAGACCAGUGGCGAAGGCGGGUCUCUGGACAGUUCCUGACACUGAGGCACGAAGGCCAGGGGAGCAAACGGG